UGAGUAACCUGCCCUUAACUCUGGGAUAAGCCUGGGAAACUGGGUCUAAUACCGGAUAUGACUCCUCAUCGCAUGGUGGGGGUGGAAAGCUUUUUGUGGUUUUGGAUGGACUCGCGGCCUAUCAGCUUGUUGGUGAGGGUAAA
rnacentral:rRNA from 1 species